UAGAUACCCUAUUAGAUAAUUUUAAGAUUUAGUAGAAGUGAUAUUCAUGAAACUAAAAUUAAUUGGCGGCUUUUUAAAUAUUUUAGAGGAAUUUAUUCUAUAAAGGAUCUGACACCAGUAUCUUACUUUUGUUUGUAUUUUUAACAAUUUACAUACCUCUAUUUUAAAAUAUUUAAAUAUAUUUUAAUAAUACUUUUAUAGUAAAAUUUUAGGUAAAGGUGUAGUUUAUACAAAAGAAUGAAAUAAAUUAUAUUAAUUCUUAUUAAUAACAAUAUUUUAGUUGUAAUCUAAAAUUUAGUAAAAUUUAAAAGUAAAUUAAGUAUAUUAAGCUUGGUUGAAUGUGAUUUUAAAAGUGUACAUAUUGCCCGUCACUCUCUUAUUAGAGAUAAGUC
rnacentral:rRNA from 1 species